CCCAAUAUUGCGUCUAUCUUAUCAUCUCGUACGCUGUUUGUGGAAAAUAUGAAGGGGAGCAGCGUGGUGUCCCUGAUUGCUGUUUUGAUCAUCGGGUGCCUUUUAAUGGUCGGACAAUGUCGGCCUGAGCCCGAGAGCACCUCCGAAGAUGGCCAUGCCAACGCGACUAUGGCAGUCUCGUCGUUAGAUGAGAGCAAACUUACUAUUAAAUUUUGUGUUAUUAGGGAUUGUCAGACCAAAGGUGAAUAUUAUGGCUUCGUAGGGUGCUACUGCUGCUUCAGUUUGAAGGGCGUUCCAUGUUAUGAUACCGUACGUGAGUGUCAGAAGAUUUGUCCAGCUCAAUCAACCUAAAAGAAGGUUGCGCAUUAUCAUGAGGAUAUAGAGAGGCAUCGUAUCCUUAGAAUCCAACAAUGAUGGUGUAUCCCUAUAUCCAGUUAUUUUCAAUUGUCCGAUCUACAUCCUAUGUGUCUGCUCUAAUAUUUGCAAGUUUGCACUGA